ACAUUCUUGCCCACAAAUAGGAUGGUUU
rnacentral:piRNA from 1 species